rnacentral:rRNA from 1 species
AUUGAACGCUGGCGGCAGGCCUAACACAUGCAAGUCGAACGAGUGGCGGACGGGUGAGUAAUGUCUGGGAAACUGCCUGAUGGAGGGGGAUAACUACUGGAAACGGUAGAUAAUACCGCAUACCAUCGGAUGUGCCCAGAUGGGAUUAGCUAGUAGGUGGGGUAAAGGCUCACCUAGGCGACGAUCCCUAGCUGGUCUGAGAGGAGGACGAGCCACACUGGCAGUGUGUCACGGACUAGACUCCUACGGGAGGAAGCAGUGGGGAAUAUUGCACAAUGGGCGCAAGCCUGAUGCAGCCAGGCCGCGUGUAUGAAGAAGGCCUUCGGGUUGUAAAGUACUGUCAGCGGGGAGGCGUUACCCGAAGAAGAAGCACCGUCUAACUCCGUGCCAGCAGCCGCGGUAAUAC